rnacentral:rRNA from 1 species
GAUGAACGCUGGCGGCGUGCCUAAUACAUGCAAGUCGAGCGAACGGACGAGAAGCUUGCUUCUCUGAUGUUAGCGGCGGACGGGUGAGUAACACGUGGAUAACCUACCUAUAAGACUGGGAUAACUUCGGGAAACCGGAGCUAAUACCGGAUAAUAUUUUGAUCUGCAUGGUUCAAAAGUAAAAGACGGUCUUGCUGUCACUUAUAGAUGGAUCCGCGCUGCAUUAGCUAGUUGGUAAGGUAACGGCUUACCAAGGCAACGAUGCAUAGCCGACCUGAGAGGGUGAUCGGCCACACUGGAACUGAGACACGGUCCAGACUCCUACGGGAGGCAGCAGUAGGGAAUCUUCCGCAAUGGGCGAAAGCCUGACGGAGCAACGCCGCGUGAGUGAUGAAGGUCUUCGGAUCGUAAAACUCUGUUAUUAGGGAAGAACAUAUGUGUAAGUAACUGUGCACAUCUUGACGGUACCUAAUCAGAAAGCCACGGCUAACUACGUGCCAGCAGCCGCGGUAAUACGUAGGUGGCAAGCGUUAUCCGGAAUUAUUGGGCGUAAAGCGCGCGUAGGCGGUUUUUUAAGUCUGAUGUGAAAGCCCACGGCUCAACCGUGGAGGGUCAUUGGAAACUGGAAAACUUGAGUGCAGAAGAGGAAAGUGGAAUUCCAUGUGUAGCGGUGAAAUGCGCAGAGAUAUGGAGGAACACCAGUGGCGAAGGCGACUUUCUGGUCUGUAACUGACGCUGAUGUGCGAAAGCGUGGGGAUCAAACAGGAUUAGAUACCCUGGUAGUCCACGCCGUAAACGAUGAGUGCUAAGUGUUAGGGGGUUUCCGCCCCUUAGUGCUGCAGCUAACGCAUUAAGCACUCCGCCUGGGGAGUACGACCGCAAGGUUGAAACUCAAAGGAAUUGACGGGGACCCGCACAAGCGGUGGAGCAUGUGGUUUAAUUCGAAGCAACGCGAGGAACCUUACCAAAUCUUGACAUCCUUUGACAACUCUAGAGAUAGAGCCUUCCCCUUCGGGGGACAAAGUGACAGGUGGUGCAUGGUUGUCGUCAGCUCGUGUCGUGAGAUGUUGGGUUAAGUCCCGCAACGAGCGCAACCCUUAAGCUUAGUUGCCAUCAUUAAGUUGGGCACUCUAAGUUGACUGCCGGUGACAAACCGGAGGAAGGUGGGGAUGACGUCAAAUCAUCAUGCCCCUUAUGAUUUGGGCUACACACGUGCUACAAUGGACAAUACAAAGGGCAGCGAAACCGCGAGGUCAAGCAAAUCCCAUAAAGUUGUUCUCAGUUCGGAUUGUAGUCUGCAACUCGACUACAUGAAGCUGGAAUCGCUAGUAAUCGUAGAUCAGCAUGCUACGGUGAAUACGUUCCCGGGUCU